UACAGGGGGUGCAAACGUUGUUCGGAAUCAUUGGGCGUAAAGCGCACGUAGGCGGUUCGUUAUGUCGGAUGUGAAAGCCCUUGGCUUAACCGAGGAAGUGCAUCCGAAACUGGCGAGCUAGAGUACGAAAGAGGAUCGCGGAAUUCCCGGUGUAGAGGUGAAAUUCGUAGAUAUCGGGAGGAACACCGAUGGCGAAGGCGGGUCUCUGGGCCGUAACUGACGCUGAGGAGCGAAAGCGUGGGGAGCGAACAGG
rnacentral:rRNA from 1 species